CCCAGACAGCCAGGAUGUUGGCUUAGAAGCAGCCAUCAUUUAAAGAAAGCGUAAUAGCUCACUGGUCGAGUCGGCCUGCGCGGAAGAUGUAACGGGGCUAAACCAUGCACCGAAGCUGCGGCAGCGACACUGUGUGUUGUUGGGUAGGGGAGCGUUCUGUAAGCCUGUGAAGGUGGCCUGUGAGGGUUGCUGGAGGUAUCAGAAGUGCGAAUGCUGACAUAAGUAACGAUAAAGCGGGUGAAAAGCCCGCUCGCCGGAAGACCAAGGGUUCCUGUCCAACGUUAAUCGGGGCAGGGUGAGUCGACCCCUAAGGCGAGGCCGAAAGGCGUAGUCGAUGGGAAACAGGUUAAUAUUCCUGUACUUGGUGUUACUGCGAAGGGGGGACGGAGAAGGCUAUGUUGGCCGGGCGACGGUUGUCCCGGUUUAAGCGUGUAGGUGUGUGUUCCAGGUAAAUCCGGUUCACUUUAACACUGAGGCGUGAUGACGAGGCACUACGGUGCUGAAGCAACAAAUGCCCUGCUUCCAGGAAAAGCCUCUAAGCAUCAGGUAACAUCAAAUCGUACCCCAAACCGACACAGGUGGUCAGGUAGAGAAUAC
rnacentral:rRNA from 1 species